GUAGGUGGCAAGCGUUGUCCGGAAUUAUUGGGCGUAAAGCGCGCGCAGGCGGGUUUUUAAGUCUGAUGUGAAAGCCCACGGGCUCAACCGUGGAGGGUCAUUGGAAACUGGAGAACUUGAGUACAGAAGAGGAAAGCGGAAUUCCACGUGUAGCGGUGAAAUGCGUAGAGAUGUGGAGGAACACCAGUGGCGAAGGCGGCUUUCUGGUCUGUAACUGACGCUGAGGCGCGAAAGCGUGGGGAGCAAACAGGAUUAGAUACCCUGGUAGUCCACGCCGUAAACGAUGAGUGCUAAGUGUUAGGGGGUUUCCGCCCCUUAGUGCUGCAGCUAACGCAUUAAGCACUCCGCCUGGGGAGUACGGCCGCAAAGGCUG
rnacentral:rRNA from 1 species